GCCCCUGUUGUCUAAUGGUUAUGACGUCAGACUUCGACGUAUUCUAAAUCUGGAGGUUGCGGGUUCGAGUCCCGUCGGGGGUU